AUUGAACGCUGGCGGCAGGCCUAACACAUGCAAGUCGAACGGAAACAGGAGGCAGCUUGCUGCUCCGCUGACGAGUGGCGGACGGGUGAGUAAUGUCUGGGAAACUGCCUGAUGGAGGGGGAUAACUACUGGAAACGGUAGCUAAUACCGCAUAACGUCGCAAGACCAAAGAGGGGGACCUUCGGGCCUCUUGCCAUCGGAUGUGCCCAGAUGGGAUUAGCUAGUAGGUGGGGUAACGGCUCACCUAGGCGACGAUCCCUAGCUGGUCUGAGAGGAUGACCAGCCACACUGGAACUGAGACACGGUCCAGACUCCUACGGGAGGCAGCAGUGGGGAAUAUUGCACAAUGGGCGCAAGCCUGAUGCAGCCAUGCCGCGUGUAUGAAGAAGGCCUUCGGGUUGUAAAGUACUUUCAGCGGGGAGGAAGGCGAUAAGGUUAAUAACCUUGUCGAUUGACGUUACCCGCAGAAGAAGCACCGGCUAACUCCGUGCCAGCAGCCGCAGUAA
rnacentral:rRNA from 1 species